AGGUUACUGCUAUCGGUGUUCGCCUAAGCCAUGCGAGUCAUAUGUUCUUCGUGAACAUGGCGUACUGCUCAGUAACACGUGGAUAACCUGCCCUUGGGUCCGGCAUAACCCCGGGAAACUGGGGAUAAUUCCGGAUAACGCACAUAUGCUGGAAUGCUUUAUGCGUCAAAUGGAUUCGUCCGCCCAAGGAUGGGUCUGCGGCCUAUCAGGUAGUAGUGGGUGUAAUGUACCUACUAGCCUACGACGGGUACGGGUUGUGAGAGCAAGAGCCCGGAGACGGAUUCUGAGACAUGAAUCCAGGCCCUACGGGGCGCAGCAGGCGCGAAAACUUUACAAUGCGGGAAACCGUGAUAAGGGGACACCGAGUGCCAGCAUCAUAUGCUGGCUGUCCGGGUGUGUAAAAUACACCUGUUAGCAAGGGCCGGGCAAGACCGGUGCCAGCCGCCGCGGUAACACCGGCGGCCCGAGUGGUGAUCGUGAUUAUUGGGUCUAAAGGGUCCGUAGCCGGUUUGGUCAGUCCUCCGGGAAAUCUGACGGCUUAACCGUUAGGCUUUCGGGGGAUACUGCCAGACUUGGAACCGGGAGAGGUAAGAGGUACUACAGGGGUAGGAGUGAAAUCUUGUAAUCCCUGUGGGACCACCUGUGGCGAGGGCGUCUUACCAGAACGGGUUCGACGGUGAGGGACGAAAGCUGGGGGCACGAACCGGAUUAGAUACCCGGGUAGUCCCAGCCGUAAACGAUGCUCGCUAGGUGUCAGGCAUGGCGCGACCGUGUCUGGUGCCGCAGGGAAGCCGUGAAGCGAGCCACCUGGGAAGUACGGCCGCAAGGCUGAAACUUAA
rnacentral:rRNA from 1 species